GACCUGAUGGUGCAGUGGUUAGUACGCUUACUUCAAGUGUUUAGAUUUUCCAGCGAGAUAAUUUCAGCAAGAAACCCCCGUUCGACUCGGGGUCGGGCCA